rfam:Bacteroides fragilis NCTC 9343, complete genome
UAUCUUUGCUCCCUGAUCGGUUCCGAAUAGUCAUUCCUCUAUCCGGAUUAAAAGGGAAUCGGGUGUAAAUCCCGGACAGUCCCGCUGCUGUGAAGCUCCGUCUGAAUUUCCGAUAACAACUGUUGCCACUGGGAUACCUUUUUGUAAAUAGAUAAGGAGUCACCGGGAAGGCGUCGGAAACAAGGAGUCAGUCAGAAGACCUGCCGCUUAUCAAAGGCUGUU